CGUGUUUUUGUAGUGCUGAACGGUCUCAGCAGGAGAGCAUACAGCUACGGUAAGCCCCGAGGGGCAAACAUGUCUCAGUAGUAGGUUUAUAUAUAAAAGCUGAGUAGGCAGCAGAAGGUGAAAGCUGUUUCCUGGGAGCAGACCUGGCACGAAUCGACAACUCCACACCAACAGAUCCUUUUCUCUUUCAAACCUGUGGUCUCCAGCUGCAUCCGACGCUGACUCAAGAUCACUAGGGGACAUUUAUCAGACGUCCCUCAGCUCCCUCUGAGACAGUGAAGGCUUCAUACUACUUUUAAAACAUGUGCAGUAGAACAACUGGAGACACAUUUAUGAAUUGGCACUAUAUAAAUAAAAUAAAAUGUAAUUUAUGACAAAGUU